rnacentral:rRNA from 1 species
UACGGGGGGGGCAAGCGUUGUUCGGAAUUACUGGGCGUAAAGCGCACGUAGGCGGCUUUGUAAGUUAGAGGUGAAAGCCCGGGGCUCAACUCCGGAACUGCCUUUAAGACUGCAUCGCUUGAAUCCGAGGAGAGGUGAGUGGAAUUCCCAGUGUAGCGGUGAAAUGCGUAGAUAUUGGGAGGAACACCAGUGGCGAAGGCGGCUCACUGGACUGGUACUGACGCUGAUGCGCGAAAGCGUGGGGAGCAAACAGG